CCUACGGGAGGCAGCAGUGGGGGAUAUUGCACAAUGGGGGGAACCCUGAUGCAGCGACGCCGCGUGGGUGAAGGAGCGUUUCGGCGCGUAAAGCCCUAUUGGCAGGGAAGAAGGAGGACGGUACCUGACCAAGAAGCCCCGACUAACUACGUGCCAGCAGCCGCGGUAAUACGGAGGGGGCAAGUGUUAUCCGGAUUUACUGGGUGUAAAGGGGGCGCUGAGGGCAGCGCAAGCCAGGGGGGAAAGCCCGGGGCCCAACUCCGGGACGGCUCUUGGAACUGCGCGGCUGGAGUGCAGGAGGGGGAGGCGGAAUUCCUGGUGUAGCGGUGAAAUGCGUAGAUAUCAGGAGGAACACCGGUGGCGAAGGCGGCCUGCUGGACUGCGACUGACGUUGAGGCCCGAAAGCGUGGGGAGCAAACAGGAUUAGAUACCCCAGUAGUC
rnacentral:rRNA from 1 species